rnacentral:rRNA from 1 species
UACGUAGGGACCGAGCGUUGUCCGGAUUCAUUGGGCGUAAAGAGCUCGUAGGCGGCCACUCAAGUCGAAUGUGAAACCUCGAGGCUUAACCUCGAGCCUGCAUUCGAUACUGGGUGGCUAGAGUCUGGUAGGGGGAUCUGGAAUUCCUGGUGUAGCGGUGAAAUGCGCAGAUAUCAGGAGGAACACCGAUGGCGAAGGCAGCUCGCUGGGACGGUACUGACGCUGAGGCGCGAAAGCGUGGGGAGCAAACAGG